rnacentral:rRNA from 1 species
GACGAACGCUGGCGGCGUGCCUAAUACAUGCAAGUCGAGCGGACUUUCAAGAAGCUUGCUUUUUGAAAGUUAGCGGCGGACGGGUGAGUAACACGUGGGCAACCUGCCUGCAAGACGGGGAUAACUCCGGGAAACCGGGGCUAAUACCGGAUAAUAUCUUCCUUCGCAUGAAGGAAGGUUGAAAGGCGGCGCAAGCUGCCGCUUGCAGAUGGGCCCGCGGCGCAUUAGCUAGUUGGUGAGGUAACGGCUCACCAAGGCGACGAUGCGUAGCCGACCUGCGAGGGUGGUCGGCCACACUGGGACUGAGACACGGCCCAGACUCCUACGGGAGGCAGCAGUAGGGAAUCUUCCGCAAGAGACGAAAGUCUGACGGAGCAACGCCGCGUGAGCGAAGAAGGUCUUCGGAUCGUAAAGCUCUGUUGUCAGGGAAGAACAAGUACCGUUCGAACAGGGCGGUACCUUGACGGUACCUGACCAGAAAGCCACGGCUAACUACGUG